AGACGGGCAUGAUGAAUCUCACUCGUCAAACACAAAAACACAACACUCGCUGCAACUCAGGGUCUGCUUACUAAAGGACAUCCAGAUCAGUGUCCUUUCAAAGAGAGCUUACAAACAUCCAGUGCAGAAGCUGAGUUAUCCUCGUGGCCUAACGGAGGCUGACUUCCUGGAUCUGCUGAGGUCCACCUUCCCUGAGCUGCCCGGAGGUGACCGACCAUUCCACGCUUUCUUGACUGACAAAUGCAAGAGAUUACAGCCGCUGAGAGUAAAGACACUGACACCCGAGGAGAUCCUGAGGUCUAUCAAGUCCACUGGGAAAGGACGAUCAGCUCUUUACAUACAACUCAAGAGAAAAGAUGAAGCCACCAAUGACACUCUGUCCACCUCUUCAACACUGACAGGAAGUGAUGAAACCAGACCGCAGGCAAGUUCCCACAACAGACGGCAACAUCACGUGGAAACAGAGGACGGUGAUGACGGAGAAGAUUGUGG